UUAGUCAGACGUGAGUUGCUGUUCUGUGUUCUAGGUGAACAGAGGAUCGCUUUCAGUUAGGUAACAACAGCAUUUCAAGGAGGCACGGCUUUGAAAAAUCGGAGCCGGCUCACCCCAUAAAACCAGCAGCAACCACACCUUCCAUUGGGAAUUAAUUCCAUCAUCGGUUACAGGGGAUCGGAGCAACCAUGGGGGGAGAAGGAGAAGCUGGGAACAUCCCCUUGCUCACAGAGCUUCCAGAUGCACCAUCAGAUGAAUCAGAAACGCACAUCAAGAGAACUGG
rnacentral:lncRNA from 1 species